rnacentral:lncRNA from 1 species
UACAUGUAUAUGUAAUUAGAUACUUUUUCUAGUAAAUUUAAAAGGAAAGUUUGUUUUCAGUAAAAUAGUUUAAAAUGAAGUAUGUAUCACUUAGGUAUUUAAAUGUUCAUUUUUUAUUUGUUCUGAUAUGUUGUUCAAAAAGUGGGACAAAUGAAUAUUAGCUUUCAUUUAGUAAAAUUCAUUGCCAGGACGCUGUAUUUGUUACUUUGUGAUUUGUGAAAGGUGAACUGUUAAAUUUCAGAGUUUGCAUGCUAGUUCCCACACACUGGAUUCAGAUUCAUUGGUAAUGGUGGCCUUGUGUACUAUGCAAUACAAAGAAAACUACAUUCAUGUGUCAACAUUUGCUGUUAUUAACAGGGAUAUACACAGAUCAUUGUGGAUUAUAAAUGAAAGUUGGAUCUUUAAAAGCGACCACGUUACCUAACUGGAAUAGCGUUUUGAAGGAGAUGUAUAUUCGUAUUGCUUUGAAUAUUACAAAUAUAUGGACAUUUGUUUUCGUAAUGUGAAAUGAUGACGUUUCUCGAAAAUGUCAGGACAGAAAAUUCAAUAAUUACAUUCUAACCAUAUCACGUUGUGUAAGAUGUGCAAAUAGUGACAAAAAAUCAUGAUGGAAUAUAUUGAAAAUCUUGUAAUCUUUAACAAUUUGUAAUUAUUUCUAUGAUGACUAAUGGCAAUACAUGCAAGCAACAUGUAUUUUGUCUAUUUACAGAAAGUUAAAUGCAAAAUGAAUUGUAUUCUUUUUCACACAGUAUCAGUUACCUUGGACAUUCAGUUUUCUGAAACUUAUCAGAAUUUUACUCGUUAUCUUGGCUUUCCUGUAUAUAUUUAUUCUUUAUUAGAUGACAUAUACAUGUAUAAUUACAUAACACAGUGCUUAACACAGUGCUUAAUUUCUGAUAGCAACAGCAAAACUCAUCUUUUCAUCAGAUUUCAGAAUGUCUAGAAUUUUGAGUGCAAUGUUAUCACUCAUUUUAUUUAUCUGAUUUAAGAUAGAUACACACAAUACCAACAUAGGUCGCUUAUCAAAAUUCUGAUAGCCAUAACAACGGUCAGAUUUUCUUCUGUCAGAUUUCAAUUGUUUUGUAACGGCUUAUCGGAAUUCGGAUAGCAACAUUGACAUACAUUAUUUAUUUCCUCUGUUUAUAAUUCAGAUAGUAAAGUCAAUGUUCUUGUUUUCUACUGCCUGCUCUCAAAUGGUGUUUAUCUGAAUUCGGAUAGCAAACGCAACGCGCAGUUUCUCUACUGUUCGGCUCCAGAUCGUUUUACGCUGUGGCUUAGGCGAAUUCGGAUAACAACGAUAAUACAUACACAAGAUCUAUUUCAUAUAUUCCUGAUGAUAUGCAAAACUUAUAGUUAUUUCAAUUCAGAUAGCAAAGUCAAUGCUAGGUUUUUUGAACUGCAUGAUUGCUUAUCUGAAUUUGGAUAGCAAAAACGAAACACUAUUUUUAGUCAGUAUUUUAUAGACUUGUCUGAAUUCGGAUAAUAAUACAAACUCACAAUUUGGUCAAGUGUAUUUACUUGUUCGUUUAAUGAUCAGGUACAAGGUCUCUUCCGAAAAUUAUCGUAUAUGGUAAAGUGUAUAUUUGCUUAGGACAGCAUAGCAUAAUAAAUACUGGAUUUAAUCUGACAGUAUUUUGUAUUUGUAUAAUUGAUAUAAAAUGAAUUGAAGAUAAUCUAAGUCUGCCUUUUAUCUGAUUUCGGAUAGAGCAGUUUUCUUAUACAUAUUUAGAUAUGCGGUUUCCUGUUCCCUGCUCGAGGUGUCUUAUAUCUAAUAUAUAUU